rnacentral:rRNA from 1 species
UACAGAGGUCCCAAGCGUUGUUCGGAUUCACUGGGCGUAAAGGGUGCGCAGGUGGGUUGGCAAGUUCGAUGUGAAAGCCCCGGGCUUAACCCGGGAAUGGCAUUGGAUACUGUUGAUCUGGAGGGUCGGAGGGGGGACUGGAAUUCUUGGUGUAGCAGUGAAAUGCGUAGAUAUCAUGAGGAAUACCAGAGGCGAAGGCGGCUACCUGGACAAUUGCUGACGCUCAGGCACGAAAGCGUGGGGAGCAAACAGG